rnacentral:rRNA from 1 species
ACCAGACUCCUACGGGAGGCAGCAGUGGGGAAUAUUGCACAAUGGGGGAAACCCUGAUGCAGCGACGCCGCGUGAGUGAAGAAGUAUUUCGGUAUGUAAAGCUCUAUCAGUAGGGAAGAAAAUGACGGUACCUGACUAAGAAGCCCCGGCUAACUACGUGCCAGCAGCCGCGGUAAUACGUAGGGGGCAAGCGUUAUCCGGAUUUACUGGGUGUAAAGGGAGCGUAGACGGUAGAGCAAGUCUGAAGUGAAAGCCCGGGGCUCAACCCCGGGACUGCAUUUGAAACUGUCAGGCUGGAGUGCAGGAGAGGUAAGUGGAAUUCCUAGUGUAGCGGUGAAAUGCGUAGAUAUUAGGAGGAACACCAGUGGCGAAGGCGGCUUACUGGACUGUAACUGACGUUGAGGCUCGAAAGCGUGGGGAGCAAACAGGAUUAGAUACCCCUGUAU